rnacentral:rRNA from 1 species
AUUGAACGCUGGCGGCAGGCUUAACACAUGCAAGUCGAACGAUGAAGGUCUAGCUUGCUAGACUGGAUUAGUGGCGGACGGGUGAGUAACACUUAGGAAUCUACCUUUUAGCGGGGGAUAGCUCGGGGAAACUCGAAUCAAUACCGCAUAAUUUCUACGGAAUAAAGAGGGCUUUUAGCUCUCACUAGAAGAUGAGCCUAAGUAAGAUUAGCUAGUUGGUGGGGUAAAGGCCUACCAAGGCGACGAUCUUUAGCUGGUCUGAGAGGAUGAUCAGCCACACUGGGACUGAGACACGGCCCAGACUCCUACGGGAGGCAGCAGUGGGGAAUAUUGGACAAUGGGGGCAACCCUGAUCCAGCCAUGCCGCGUGUGUGAAGAAGGCCUUUUGGUUGUAAAGCACUUUAAGCAGUGAAGAAGACCUAUUGGUUAAUACCCAAUAGCAAUGACAUUAACUGCAGAAUAAGCACCGGCUAACUCUGUGCCAGCAGCCGCGGUAAUACAGAGGGUGCAAGCGUUAAUCGGAAUUACUGGGCGUAAAGCGAGCGUAGGUGGUUAAAUAAGUCAGAUGUGAAAGCCCUGGGCUCAACCUAGGAACGGCAUCUGAAACUAUUUAACUAGAGUAGGUGAGAGGGAAGUAGAAUUUCAGGUGUAGCGGUGAAAUGCGUAGAGAUCUGAAGGAAUACCGAUGGCGAAGGCAGCUUCCUGGCAUCAUACUGACACUGAGGCUCGAAAGCGUGGGUAGCAAACAGG